rnacentral:rRNA from 1 species
CCUACGGGUGGCAGCAGUGGGGAAUAUUGCGCAAUGGGCGAAAGCCUGACGCAGCGACGCCGCGUGAGGGAUGAAGGUCUUCGGAUCGUAAACCUCUGUCAGCAGGGAAGAACGGUCACUGUGCUAAUCAGCAGUGAAUUGACGGUACCUGCAAAGGAAGCACCGGCUAACUCCGUGCCAGCAGCCGCGGUAAUACGGAGGGUGCGAGCGUUAAUCGGAAUUACUGGGCGUAAAGCGCUCGUAGGCGGUAUGUCAAGUCAAGGGUGAAAUCCCCGCGCUCAACGUGGGAACUGCCUUUGAAACUGGCAAACUGGAGUGUGUGAGAGGAUAGUGGAAGUCCAGGUGUAGGAGUGAAAUGCGUAGAUAUCUGGAGGAACAUCAGUGGCGAAGGCGACUAUCUGGCACAUAACUGACGCUGAGGAGCGAAAGCGUGGGUAGCAAACAGGAUUAGAUACCCUAGUAGUC